AGGACGAACGCUGGCGGCGUGCUUAACACAUGCAAGUCGAGCGGUAAGGCCUUUCGGGGUACACGAGCGGCGAACGGGUGAGUAACACGUGGGUGAUCUGCCCUGCACUCUGGGAUAAGCCUGGGAAACUGGGUCUAAUACCGGAUAUGACCUGCUCUCGCAGUGGGGGGUGGGUAGGAAAGAUUUAGUCGGUGCAAGGGAGUGGGGCCCCGCGGCCUAUCAGUCUUGUUGGGUGGGUAAUGGCCUAACCGAAGGCGACGGACGGGUAC
rnacentral:rRNA from 1 species